rnacentral:lncRNA from 1 species
AAAGGUGCCACCUUCAUGGUGGCAGGUGGUGGGGAUGGAGGGGGGCUGGGGGCUGCAGGAGUGCUCAGCCCUCAGGAAGGGGAGAGGGCAGCGAUAAAAAUAACCUCUGGGCCAGCUCCAGCCCUUUGUGGCUUCCUGCGAUUUACAGCCCUUUCCCGGGGGGAAGAGGAGGCAGGAACUGGCCUGGCUCAGGGCUGGGUUUGACCCUUUCGCCGCCAGCGGAGAAGGUGCCAGAAGGACCCUUCCUCCCUCCUCUCCCUCCUCUCCCUUGCUGGCUGGGGCAGGACCCUGGGGCAGGGGACUGGAGUGGGCUCCUGCUCCUGAGCUGCACCCAGCAUCUUGUCGGGGGUGGGGGGGAUAUAGAAGGAGAAGCUGACAGAGUGGGAAUGAUUUUCCUGCCCCAUUCCUGAUGCCCUGCAUGCUGGGGGGGACAGAGAGACUCAGUCCUGCCUGGGAGGAGGCAGAGAUCUCUGCUGCGGAUCCCAAAAUGCCAGCUGGGCUCCUGUAAGGAGGAGGAGAAGGAGAAAGGAGAAGGAGUUGAUCCCAAAAUGCCAUCUGGGCUCCUGUAAGGAGGAGGAGGAGAAGGAGAAGGAGAAAGGAGGAGAAGUAGGAGAAGGAGAAAGGAGAAGGAGAAAGGAGGAGAAGGAGAGGGAGAAAGGAUAACGAAGAGAAGGAGAAGGAGGAGGAGGAGAAGGAGAAGGAGGAAAAGGAGAAAGGAGAAGGAGAAAGAAGAAGGAGAAAGGAGAAGGAGAAAGAAGAAGGAGAAAGGAGAAGGAGGAGAAGGAGAAAGAACUGGAAGAAAUGAGCUGGAGCUGCUGGAGGAGGAGGGUUAAUAGUGGCUGGGCAGGGGCAGAAGAGGAGGAGGAGAGCUGGAAGAGAUGAGCUGAAGCUGACGGAGGGGGAGGGUUAAUAGUGGCUGGGCAGGGGCAGGACCCUUGGUGUGAAGGCUGCAGCUGGGGCAGGGGGGGUCAUGCUGGCUCCUGCUGACGGAGCUGGGCUGGCAGGGGUUAACAGGGUGGCUCUUCCUCUUCCUCACCCUCUAUAUCAGGCUCCUGGAGGCUCUGGCCUCAGUUUGCUGCUGACGGCCAGAGGGGCAGGAGCUGAGACCGGAGCAUCCCUGCAUCCCUGCAUCCCAUCCCCGCAUCCCUGUGUGGGCUCAGGGCCAAAUCCAGGAGCUGGUAGAAAACCUUGGGGACCCUCCCCGGCCGCAGCACUGAACCCACCCCGGGGUUGGGGGGAGCAGAGAGUCCAGGGGUGC